AACCAUUCUCACCUGCGGCUAGACCUGCGGAGGGAUCAUCAUCGAAUUCAUAUCCCCCUCCUCUCCCGGAGGGGGACCCAUGAUAAACCCUUCUGUGCACCGUAAACCGUUCACUUUGGCAGGCUUUGGUGGUGAGCGUGAGCUCGCCUCCAACCUCGCGUUCCUCCCUCACUAAGGGCGUUACGCGUGGCGGCCUGCCGGAGUCCUAUUAAAAAACUCGUUUUCGAACACGUCUGAAAA
rnacentral:misc_RNA from 1 species